UACGGAGGGUGCAAGCGUUAAUCGGAAUUACUGGGCGUAAAGCGUGCGCAGGCGGUUUGUUAAGACCGAUGUGAAAUCCCCGGGCUUAACCUGGGAACUGCAUUGGUGACUGGCAGGCUUUGAGUGUGGCAGAGGGAGGUAGAAUUCCACGUGUAGCAGUGAAAUGCGUAGAGAUGUGGAGGAAUACCGAUGGCGAAGGCAGCCUCCUGGGCCAACACUGACGCUCAUGCACGAAAGCGUGGGGAGCAAACAGG
rnacentral:rRNA from 1 species